AGUGAACGCUGGCGGUAGGCCUAACACAUGCAAGUCGAACGGCAGCACAGUAAGAGCUUGCUCUUACGGGUGGCGAGUGGCGGACGGGUGAGGAAUACAUCGGAAUCUACUUUUUCGUGGGGGGUAACGUAGGGAAACUUACGCUAAUACCGCAUACGACCUACGGGUGAAAGCAGGGGAUCUUCGGACCUUGCGCGAUUGAAUGAGCCGAUGUCGGAUUAGCUAGUUGGCGGGGUAAAGGCCCACCAAGGCGACGAUCCGUAGCUGGUCUGAGAGGAUGAUCAGCCACACUGGAACUGAGACACGGUCCAGACGCCUACGGGAGGCAGCAGUGGGGAAUAUUGGACAAUGGGCGCAAGCCUGAUCCAGCCAUACCGCGUGGGUGAAGAAGGCCUUCGGGUUGUAAAGCCCUUUUGUUGGGAAAGAAAAGCAGCAGGUUAAUACCCCGCUGUUCUGACGGUACCCAAAGAAUAAGCACCGGCUAACUUCGUG
rnacentral:rRNA from 1 species